rnacentral:sRNA from 2 species
GGUACGGACCCGCCGAGUCGUACGUACGAGCCGGGGACCCAUGUCCCACUGGGGUGAAUCCGCAGGCGUGCCUGUGGUAGGGCCAAUCUUCCCGCCCGAAUCCGUCAGCUAACCCGGUAGGCGGAACGGAAGGAGUA